GAUGAACGCUGGCGGCGCGCCUAACACAUGCAAGUCGAACGAUUAAAGCACCUUCGGGUGUGUAUAAAGUGGCGAACGGCUGAGUAACACGUGGGCAACCUGCCCCUUUCAUUGGGAUAGCCACGGGAAACCGUGGAUAAUACCGAAUACUUCGAGACUUCCGCAUGGAAGACUCGAGAAAGCUCCGGCGGAGAGGGAUGGGCCCGCGGCCUGUUAGCUUGUUGGUGGGGUAACGGCCUACCAAGGCAAUGAUGGGUAGCUGGGUUGAGAGACCGACCAGCCAGAUUGGGACUGAGACACGGCCCAGACUCCUACGGGAGGCAGCAGCGGGGAAUCUUGCACAAUGGGCGAAAGCCUGAUGCAGCGACGCCGCGUGCGGGAUGAAGGCCUUCGGGUUGUAAACCGCUUUCAGCAGGGACGAGGCGAAAGUGACGGUACCUGCAGAAGAAGCCCCGGCUAACUACGUG
rnacentral:rRNA from 1 species